UACGGGGGGAGCAAGCGUUGUUCGGAUUUACUGGGCGUAAAGGGCGCGUAGGCGGCCAGCACACGUCAGUUGUGAAAUCUCCGGGCUUAACUCGGAAAGGUCAACUGAUACUGUGCGGCUAGAGUGCAGAAGGGGCAACUGGAAUUCUCGGUGUAGCGGUGAAAUGCGUAGAUAUCGAGAGGAACACCUGCGGCGAAGGCGGGUUGCUGGGCUGACACUGACGCUGAUGCGCGAAAGCCAGGGGAGCGAACGGG
rnacentral:rRNA from 1 species